CGCAGCGGCGCUCGUGACGUCAGGCGCGUGCGAUUAUUUUGAACGGGGCUCAAGAUGGCGGAGGAGAGCGGCGCGAAGCAGCGGAACACCGGACCGAGCUGCACAGCGAGCCGACACAACGCAGGGGUCUCUGGGAUGAGCUGCUCUGAUCCGGAGGCGUCUGGAGCCGUGCAGAUCGUCAUCGCAGACGAGGAGCAUCACCAGUUCUCUCUGGACGAGGAGGCGCUGGAGCAGAUCCUGCUGCAGGAGCGCGUGAGGGAUCUACAUGUGGUGGUGGUGUCUGUAGCUGGAGCCUUCCGCAAGGGCAAGUCCUUCCUGCUGGACUUCAUGCUCAGAUACAUGUACAGCCAGGACUCGGACGCGUGGCUGGGUGGGAACAACGAGCCGCUGACGGGCUUCACCUGGAGGGGCGGCUGUGAGCGCGAGACCACCGGCAUUCAGGCCUGGAGCCACGUGUUUGUGGUGGAGAAACCAGACGGCAGCAGGGUGGCUGUGCUGCUUCUGGACACGCAGGGAGCGUUCGACAGUCAGUCCACCGUCAAAGACUGCGCCACACUGUUCGCCCUCAGCACCAUGACCAGCUCUGUACAGGUCUAUAACUUGUCCCAAAACGUUCAAGAAGACGAUCUGCAGCAUCUUCAGCUCUUCACAGAGUACGGUCGACUGGCCAUGGAGGAGAUCUACCUGAAACCCUUCCAGUCGCUGAUGUUUCUCAUUCGAGACUGGAGUUACCCGUACGAACACGCUUACGGUCUGGAUGGGGGAAAUAAGUUCCUGGAGAAGAGGCUGCAGGUCAAACAGAAUCAGCACGAAGAGCUGCAGAACGUCAGGAAGCACAUCCACUCCUGCUUCUCCAGCAUCAGCUGCUUCCUGCUGCCGCACCCUGGGCUCAAAGUGGCCACCAACCCACACUUCGACGGCCGCUUGCGAGACAUCGAUGAGGAAUUCAAGAGGGAGCUGGUGAAUCUGGUGCCUCUGCUUCUGGCUCCUGAGAGUCUGAUGGAGAAGGAGAUCAGCGGCUCUAAAGUCACGUGUCGAGAUCUGCUGCAGUAUUUCAGAGCCUACAUGAAGAUCUAUCAGGGCGAAGAACUGCCGCAUCCCAAGUCCAUGUUACAGGCGACGGCUGAAGCGAAUAACCUGGCCGCUGUAGCAGGAGCGAAAGACUCGUACAGCAGGAGCAUGGAGCAGGUGUGCGGUGGAGACAGGCCCUACAUGUCUCCGGCGGAUCUGGAGCGCAGUCACGAGGAGCUGAAGCAGAGCUGUGUGCGUCAGUUCCGCGGCGUGAAGAAGAUGGGCGGCGAGGAGCUCUGCCUCCGCUAUCAGGAGCAGCUGGAGCAGGAGAUCGACGAGGCCUACGCCAGCUUCCUCAAACACAACGAUGGGAAGAACAUUUUCUUCGCGGCGCGCACGCCGGCCACGCUGUUCGCCGUGAUGUUCGUCAUGUACGUGGCGUCGGUGGUGACGGGCUUCGUGGGUCUGAGCCCUGCGGCGGCGCUGUGUAACCUGCUGAUGGGCCUGGCGCUGCUCUCGCUCUGCGUCUGGGUCUAUGUCAGAUACUCCGGGGAGUUCAGAGAGCUGGGCUGCUUCAUCGACCGGCUGGCAGAAACCCUGUGGGAGCAGAGGACGCCGCGGAAGGUCUUUUCCAAACUGUUCGAGGUCGCGCGGAGCAAAGUGACGCUGAGCGCCGUGAUGCCGACGCCGCGACAGAGACUGUCCUCAAACAACAACGUCAAGAAGAGGAACUAGCCCGAGAAUCUCACGUUCAGGACGCUCCAUCACCGCCGAGGAUUCUGGGAGUUUCACCAGGUGUCCUCUUUCUCAUGUCAUCUCUUCUGUCCGUCUCAUCUGUGUUCAUGGAGAAGUGUUCGGACUCGCUGACGUCUCCUCCGGACGCGUCACAUGACUCGGAGCGGGUCACGAUCCACUACAGGACCUAGUUGAGAACGCUGAGCUGUACCAAUGAUUUCAGUGUCUGCUGUACAGACGAACUUCCUGGGAAUCAUCUGAUGACCGUGUCUUGAGUGUUUUAAAGAUUCAUUCCGAAUGAAGCGAUUCACUUUCAGAGUCAUCAUGAACCGAUGGAGCGAUUCCGAGAUCAGUCAGUCAAGAGAAAAACUGAGGUCCAACAAACCCGUGCAUGCCGAUACAACCGUGAAGAAACCUUUAUAACACAGAUUCUGCUGCUCCGUUCGAGCCAGGAAUAAUUAUAAUAAUGCAUAAUGAUAUUCAAGACUAAAUGAGCCACUAAAAUCAGCACCAGUGGCCAGAGAAAUACACAUCAGAAACGAAGGCUAGCAAACUAAACCACACUUAAAACAACAGCAACAUUGUGAGAAAUCGAAUAUGAGGAUGACGAGCACAAGAAGCUGGAAGAAAGACACCGGGCUGAUGAAGAUGAAUCAAUAGGUAUAUGAGCCUCAUCAAGAUGAAACCCCUUCAUUAUAACGGCAGGCAGUUCUUCUGAUCGUCUGCUUCAUCAAUACUGGCCGAACUGUCAAUCAUCACACUAACCCCGCCCCCACACGCAGACUCCGCCCAUCGAGAGCGGUGACGCGGCGUCAGUCCUGC